rnacentral:rRNA from 1 species
AGAGUUUGAUCCUGGCUCAGAACGAACGCUGGCGGCGUGGAUAAGACAUGCAAGUCGAACGAGAGAAUUGCUAGCUUGCUAAUAAUUCUCUAGUGGCGCACGGGUGAGUAACACGUGAGUAACCUGCCCCCGAGAGCGGGAUAGCCCUGGGAAACUGGGAUUAAUACCGCAUAGUAUCGAAAGAUUAGAGCAGCAAUGCGCUUGGGGAUGGGCUCGCGGCCUAUUAGUUAGUUGGUGAGGUAACGGCUCACCAAGGCGAUGACGGGUAGCCGGUCUGAGAGGAUGUCCGGCCACACUGGAACUGAGACACGGUCCAGACACCUACGGGUGGCAGCAGUCGAGAAUCAUUCACAAUGGGGGAAACCCUGAUGGUGCGACGCCGCGUGGGGGAAUGAAGGUCUUCGGAUUGUAAACCCCUGUCAUGUGGGAGCAAAUUAAAAAGAUAGUACCACAAGAGGAAGAGACGGCUAACUCUGUGCCAGCAGCCGCGGUAAUACAGAGGUCUCAAGCGUUGUUCGGAAUCACUGGGCGUAAAGCGUGCGUAGGCUGUUUCGUAAGUCGUGUGUGAAAGGCGCGGGCUCAACCCGCGGACGGCACAUGAUACUGCGAGACUAGAGUAAUGGAGGGGGAACCGGAAUUCUCGGUGUAGCAGUGAAAUGCGUAGAUAUCGAGAGGAACACUCGUGGCGAAGGCGGGUUCCUGGACAUUAACUGACGCUGAGGCACGAAGGCCAGGGGAGCGAAAGGGAUUAGAUACCCCUGUAGUCCUGGCAGUAAACGGUGCACGCAUGGGUGCGGGGAAUCGACCCCCUGCGUGCCGGAG